rnacentral:rRNA from 1 species
CAUGCCUUACACAUGCAAGUCGAACGGCAGCAGGAGCAAUCCUGGUGGCGAGUGGCGAACGGUGAGUAUAUAUCGGAACGUGCCCAGUCGUGGGGGAUAACGUAGCGAAAGCUACGCUAAUACCGCAUACGAUCUAUGGAUGAAAGCGGGGGAUCGCAAGACCUCGCGCGAUUGGGAGCGGCCGAUAUCAGAUUAGGUAGUUGGUGAGGUAAAGGCUCACCAAGCCGACGAUCUGUAGCUGGUCUGAGAGGACGACCAGCCACACUGGGACUGAGACACGGCCCAGACUCCUACGGGAGGCAGCAGUGGGGAAUUUUGGACAAUGGACGCAAGUCUGAUCCAGCCAUUCCGCGUGCAGGAUGAAGGCCCUCGGGUUGUAAACUGCUUUGUACGGAACGAAAAGGUUUGUCUUAAUACGAUGAGCUCAUGACGGUACCGUAAGAAUAAGCACCGGCUAACUACGUG